rnacentral:rRNA from 1 species
AGUGAACGCUGGCGGUAGGCCUAACACAUGCGAGUCGAACGGCAGCACAGUAAGAGCUGGCUCUUACGGGUGGCGAGUGGCGGACGGGUGAGGAAUACAUCGGAAUCUACUUUUUCGUGGGGGAGAACGUAGGGAAACUUACGCUAAUACCGCAUACGACCUACGGGUGAAAGCAGGGGAUCUUCGGACCUUGCGCGAGUGAAUGAGCCGAUGUCGGAUUAGCUAGUUGGCGGGGUAAAGGCCCACCAAGGCGACGAUCCGUAGCUGGUCUGAGCGGAUGAUCAGCCACACUGGAACUUAGACACGGUCCAGACUCCUACGGGAGGCAGCAGUGGGGAAUAUUGGACAAUGGGCGCAAGCCUGAUCCAGCCAUCCCGCGUGUGUGACGAAGGCCUUCGGUUUGUAAAGCCCUUUUGUUGGGAAAGAAAAGCAGUAGGUUAAUACCCCGCUGUUCUGACGGUACCCAAAGAAUAAGCACCGGCUAACUUCGUG